CUUCUCAGCUCAGGACGAGGUUUGACAUUGACGACGAAACGGUAUGAAAUCGGAUGUUCUGACGGGAAUCAUUUUCAGGAAGCCUCUGUUUUGGAAGUACCCUGUUUUGGAAGGCUCGUGUAGAGUCAAAUGGAUCGAAGUACCUUUCACUAUCUCGUGUUCUAAGAACCAAAGCAUCUGGGCUGGAUGGAAUUUAGCAUCAGAAAAAGUCCUCUUUCUGUUCAGAAAGUUGUAAAGUGCAUGAAGAUGAAGCAGGCACCAGAAAUCCUUGGCAGUGCAAAUGGAAAGACUCAGAACUGUGAAGUGAAUCACGAAUGUUCUGUAUUCCUCAGCAAAGCUCAGCUUUCUAACAGCCUACAGGAGGGGGUCAUGCAGAAAUUUAACGGGCAUGAUGCACUCCCCUUUCUUCCAGCAGAGAAGUUGAAAGAUCUUACUUCUUGUGUGUUUAAUGGAGAACCUGGUGCUCAUGAUAC
rnacentral:lncRNA from 1 species